AGUGAACGCUGGCGGUAGGCCUAACACAUGCAAGUCGAACGGCAGCACAGUAAGAGCUUGCUCUUACGGGUGGCGAGUGGCGGACGGGUGAGGAAUACAUCGGAAUCUACUUUUUCGUGGGGGAUAACGUAGGGAAACUUACGCUAAUACCGCAUACGACCUACGGGUGAAAGCAGGGGAUCUUCGGACCUUGCGCGAUUGAAUGAGCCGAUGUCGGAUUAGCUAGUUGGCGGGGUAAAGGCCCACCAAGGCGACGAUCCGUAGCUGAUCUGAGAGGAUGAUCAGCCACACUGGAACUGAGACACGGUCCAGACUCCUACGGGAGGCAGCAGUGGGGAAUAUUGGACAAUGGGCGCAAGCCUGAUCCAGCCAUGCCGCGUGAGUGAAGAAGGCCUUCGGGUUGUAAAGCCCUUUUGUUGGGAAAGAAAAGCAGCAGGUUAAUACCCCGCCGUCCUGACGGUACCCAAAGAAUAAGCACCGGCUAACUUCGUG
rnacentral:rRNA from 1 species